UACGUAGGGAGCAAGCGUUGUCCGGAUUUACUGGGUGUAAAGGGUGCGUAGGCGGCCCUGCAAGUCAGAAGUGAAAUCCAUGGGCUUAACCCGUGAACUGCUUUUGAAACUGUAGGGCUUGAGUGAAGUGGAGGCAGGCGGAAUUCCCGGUGUAGCGGUGAAAUGCGUAGAGAUCGGGAGGAACACCAGUGGCGAAGGCGGCCUGCUGGGCUUUAACUGACGCUGAAGCACGAAAGCGUGGGUAGCAAACAGG
rnacentral:rRNA from 1 species